GGAAAGUUGAAAAGAACUUUGAAGAGAGAGUUCAAAAGGGCGUGAAACCGCUUAGAGGAAAACGGACGGAGCCGUCAGGGGCCCUCGGGAAUCAGUCUGUCGAUACGCGAAUAUGUCGUAGUUCCAGAGCGCAAGUCUGGCUGCGGUAUAAAGUAGCGUUCGUAAGGCGCAUUUCUCGGGGGUAAGCACUGCGACCGAUACGAAAGGCCGAUAUAUCGCCCGGUUUGAGGGCGAGUCCCUUCGCGGGGACUCGUAACCAGUCCGGGCGUUUGAUUGUCGGACCGCAGUAUGUAUCGAGAACUCUGAUAUACACCGGCGUAAACGCGCGCUCUGUAAUGGAUAGUCGGUCAAUAAGCUGGUACCUGUUCGCAGGUGCUGGCCUGUUCGAUUCGGCUUUGAAGUUGCGAGCGACAUACGGUCGUAUAGGAUUCGGCAGUGUCAGUGUCGGCCACCCGUCCGACCCGUCUUGAAACACGGACCAAGGAGUCUAACAUAUGCGCGAGCCAAUGGGCGGAAAACCCAAAGGCGCAAUAAAAGUAAAAGCUGUUUCGGACAGCCGAGGUACGAUCCUAUCGUAAUUGGUAGGCGCAGUACCGUCCCGUCCCGACCGCAUAUCGGUAGGGCGGAGAUAGAGUGCAUACGUUGGGACCCGAAAGAUGGUGAACUAUGCCUGAGCAGAGCGAAGCCAGAGGAAACUCUGGUGGAGGUUCGUAGCGGUUCUGACGUGCAAAUCGAUCGUCAGACUUGGGUAUAGGGGCGAAAGACUAAUCGAACCAUCUAGUACGUG
rnacentral:rRNA from 1 species